GCAAUGGGGCUGUUAAGUGAUGACGUCACAGUUCCUUCGAUACGCAUAGCAACGAUCCCACUGGGGACAAACAAAAGUAGCGUCGUCUCCACCGAACCAGUUGUCAUAGGCAACAUAUAGGAAUCGUGUACAUUUCUUCGUUUCUUCUUUGCUGUUUUCAGUGAGUGUUUUGUUUUCUCUUUGUCCUUGAUCUCGACGGUGUUGUCGUGCUCAUUACCUUACUGAGACGUCUCUUGUGACUGUAGCCAGUGUCACGGAGGAUUUUAUUGGCGUGACGAGGUAGAUCGCCGAGAUCGAGCGUGAAAAACGCUCUGCAUUAGUAGCUCUUGUAUAAUGUCUUCUGGGAUGGCGUAUCCAUGGUCAACAAAGCCAAGGUGCAAGACAGCAUAAGAGAUCGUGUAAACGAUGUGAACUCCAAAAGAUAAUCUGGACAAAUAAAUUAUAUUGUAACUGGAGAGUGCAAUCGUGCUUGGGACCCAUCCCAAUGUCAUCACAUGGCUGUGGUAACUAGUGUAUACCUGUACCUGGGAGAGUUUUUCCUCAACUGAGACGGAGUGUAGGUGGAUGGAUUAUGAGAAAUGCGAAGAUGUGGAGUUCAAGGCUAGAUGCACUUCACAUUCAGCGUGCGAUCUCGGCGUCUGGGACCUGAUAACGUCUUGGUUGGAUGGGUAAUCAAGGAUGAUACUACUCGGCACACCAAUGUACAUGUCAAUGUAAUUUUUUACUUUUUCAGAGCUGCACCAUUUACAGACGAAUGUGUCUGUUAGAGAGGAAAUAAAUCGUAUUCACAAACAA